rnacentral:rRNA from 1 species
GGAGUUAGCCGGUGCUUCUUCUGUGAGUGAUGUCCUUCCUGCCGGCUAUUAACCCGCAGGCCUUCUUCCUCACUGAAAGUGCUUUACAACCCGAAGGCCUUCUUCACACACGCGGCAUGGCUGGAUCAGGGUUGCCCCCAUUGUCCAAUAUUCCCCACUGCUGCCUCCCGUAGGAGUCUGGGCCGUGUCUCAGUCCCAGUGUGGCUGAUCAUCCUCUCAGACCAGCUACGGAUCGUCGCCUUGGUGAGCCGUUACCUCACCAACCAGCUAAUCCGACAUAGGCUCAUCCGAUAGCGCGAGGCCCGAAGGUACCCCCGCUUUCCCCCGUAGGGCGUACUGCGGUAUUAGCCUGGGUUUCCCCAGGUUAUCCCCCACUACCGGGCAGAUUCCUAUGCAUUACUCACCCGUCCGCCGCUCGCCACCAGGGAGCAAGCUCCCCGUGCUGCCGCUCGACUUGCAUGUGUUAGGCCUGCCGCCAGCGUUCAAUCUGAGCCAGGAUCAAACUCUGA